GAAGGUCCCAAGCGUUAUUCGGAAUCACUGGGCGUAAAGGGAGCGUAGGCGGCGUGGUAAGUCAGAUGUGAAAUCCCGGGGCUCAACCCCGGAACUGCAUCCGAUACUGCCAUGCUAGAGGAUUGGAGAGGUAGCUGGAAUUCUUGGUGUAGCAGUGAAAUGCGUAGAGAUCAAGAGGAACACUCGUGGCGAAAGCGAGCUACUGGACAAUUCCUGACGCUGAGGCUCGAAGGCUAGGGUAGCGAAAGGGAUUAGAUACCCCUGUAGUCCUAGCAGUAAACGGUGCACGCUUGGUGUGAGGGGAAUCGACCCCCCUUGUGCCGGAGCUAACGCGUUAAGCGUGCCGCCUGGGAAGUACGGUCGCAAGACU
rnacentral:rRNA from 1 species